UACGAAGGGGGCUAGCGUUGUUCGGAAUUACUGGGCGUAAAGCGUACGUAGGCGGACAUUUAAGUCAGGGGUGAAAUCCCGGGGCUCAACCCCGGAACUGCCUUUGAUACUGGAUGUCUUGAGUCCGGAAGAGGUGAGUGGAAUUGCGAGUGUAGAGGUGAAAUUCGUAGAUAUUCGCAGGAACACCAGUGGCGAAGGCGGCUCACUGGUCCGGUACUGACGCUGAGGUACGAAAGCGUGGGGAGCAAACAGG
rnacentral:rRNA from 2 species